CAGUAAUGGCGAAUGAACAGAGACUAGGUCAAAACCGAAUCGCGCUGCUUAAACAGGUUGCUGCGAGUUGUGGUGUAUGGCCAUCUUAAAAAAAUAGUAUUACUGGCAUUGCGAUGAGUUCGGUUGAAUACGACGUUUACCAUAGAGGGUGAUAGGCCCAUAUUCGUCGUGUCAGUGUACUUAACAGAUGGCCUAAGAGUCGAGUUGUUUGAGAUUGCAACUCAAACGCGUGUGGUAAACUCCAUACAAACCUAAAUAUGUCGACGAUACCGAUAGCAAAGAAGUACCGUGAGGGAAAGUUGAAAAGAACUUUGAAAAGAGAGUUAAACAGGACGUGAAACUGCACAUUGAAAAGCGAAUGAGCACGCAUUCGUUCGACUCGUGAUUCAAAUGUUCGUGGUUGUGUGCCAGUUUUGGUACGCGGUCAUGUGCAUUGCAUUUUGCGAGCCGACAACCUGCCUGACUUUGAAUUGGCCACAGUUUCGGCAAAGUACACGUCCAUUUUCUAUUGAUGGAUCGUGAGUUGUCAGUCGUGUGCUGAAUGCACUUGCGUAGCAGGCUGGCCAUGAUUAACAUGUGCUGGUCGUUUGCUGGUUUGGAGUUGUAAAGUUUGAUUUGCGUUACCUAUCGUCGCCAGCAAUGGCGAUGAUGUUGAUGGUUCUGGAGCGCGGACCAUGAGUGUAUGCGGGGUGUACCCUGUGUGCACUUGUGCGACCGUCGUUCCUGAAUUUCAUCGGUCUUGCGCACUGAAGGCAGGAUUUGCUGCGGCAUCAUUCGAACCGUCUUGAAACACGGGCUAAGGAGUUCAACAGAUGCGCGAGUUUACUGGUCACAAGAAACCAGAAGGCGCAGCUAACGCGAUGUUGUGUAUAAUGGCGAUAAUUCGACAGUUGCUGAAGAUUGUUUUCUGAAGCUCCGUCGGAGUCAUCGCCUAUCAUGGAUGGCAUGUGAGUAAUGAAUGCUGUUCGCAGUUGAGCGCAUGUGCUGAGACCCGAAAGAUGGUGAACUAUGCCUGAGUAGGAUGAAGUCGGGGGAAACUCUGAUGGAGGUCCGAAGCGUUUUUGACGUGCAAAUCAAUCGUCAGACUUGGGUAUAGGGGCGAAAGACUAAUCGAACCAUCUAGUAGCUGGUUCCCUUCGAAGUUU
rnacentral:rRNA from 1 species